AAAAGAAAUAAUAUAAUGAAUAUUAUUUCUAUACAAUUGAAUAAUGUGUAUUUGUAAGGCUGUGAUUUUGCAUAAGACAAGGGACUAUAUUUAACUUGAGGAAGAUUAUUUAGGGUAGUUAGAACACUGAAACAAAUAUCUUAAUCAUACUUAUGUUUCUUUGUUUAAACUUACAAUCUGUGACCUAAAAUCCAAAUUGUAAACUAUUGAGAGAGGACAAUACCCCAAUAUAAGGCAGAGUUAGAGAAUGUUGGUCCCACUCCUGCUGAGGUAGAGCUCAUCCUCAGGUUAGUUUGUUAUAUUAGCAAUUACCAUAAGAACUUGAAUUUCUUUAAUCUGUAAAAGGAAAAAAUACAUCAUACUCUCUGUGAUGCAGCAUUCAAUGUUUGCUUUAAUGCUUCAAAUACAGAUUCAAUAUUAUUCUGUCAUCACUGUUAAUGAUUUUCCAAGUUAAACAUGCACAAAGCUGUUUGCAUUCAUCUCAUGCAAUUGGAUAGAGAAAGGCAAGAAUAAACAUGGAGGCUGUAUGUCUCCCCAUAUGGUACUGACAGCAUCCUCUUGUCUGUCAGGUGUCUUGGUCAGGCUAUUCAGUGUGGUUUGAUCAUAGUCAUCCUUAUUCAUCAAAAUGCAUCAGUGAUUUGCGGAGCCCUCUCAAGCACCCUCAUCUCCCUGCAUCCUCUCAGCAAAGAACUUCAAGGUCAUAAUAUUUUACUCACCAUGCUGGUCCUUGCUUUGCUCUGAUCACAAAUAUAGACUAGGUCAGUGGGUGCUUUUUUCACUCCAAUGGACUGUUCUUAAAAGAUACACAGAGCUGAGCUUUCAUCUGCCAAUAACGAGUCUAAUGGAAACUCAGCCUCUCAGCAGCAAGAUACAGGACUCAACAAUGGAAGAAUCCCAUGACUGACCAUUAAUCCCAAAGCUCUUCUC
rnacentral:lncRNA from 12 species